rnacentral:rRNA from 1 species
UACGGAGGAGGCAAGCGUUAUCCGGAAUUAUUGGGCGUAAAGCGUCCGCAGGUGGCACCUCAAGUCUGCUGUCAAAGACCGGGGCUUAACCCCAGAAAGGCAGUGGAAACUGAAGUGCUAGAGUGCAGUAGGGGUAGAGGGAAUUCCCGGUGUAGCGGUGAAAUGCGUAGAGAUCGAGAAGAACAUCGGUGGCGAAAGCGCUCUGCUGGACUGCAACUGACACUCAGGGACGAAAGCUAGGGGAGCGAAUGGG